rnacentral:rRNA from 1 species
CGUAGGGUGCAAGCGUUAAUCGGAAUUACUGGACGUAAAGCGUGCGCAGGCGGUUUUGUAAGACAGAUGUGAAAUCCCCGGGCUCAACCUGGGACCUGCAUUUGUGACUGCAAGGCUAGAGUACGGUAGAGGGGGAUGGAAUUCCGCGUGUAGCAGUGAAAUGCGUAGAUAUGCGGAGGAACACCGAUGGCGAAGGCAAUCCCCUGGACCUGUACUGACGCUCAUGCACGAAAGCGUGGGGAGCAAACAGGAUUAGAUACCCUGGUAGUCCACGCCCUAAACGAUGUCAACUGGUUGUUGGGUCUUUACUGACUCAGUAACGAAGCUAACGCGUGAAGUUGACCGCCUGGGGAGUACGGCCGCAAGGUUG